UACGUAGGGGGGCAAGCGUUGUCCGGAUUUAUUGGGCGUAAAGAGCGUGUAGGCGGCCAGGUAGGUCAGCUGUGAAAACUCGAGGCUCAACCUCGAGACGCCGGUUGAAACCAUCUGGCUAGAGUCCGGAAGAGGAGAGUGGAAUUCCUGGUGUAGCGGUGAAUGCGCAGAUAUCAGGAAGAACACCCGUGGCUAAGGCGGCUCUCUAGUACGGUACUGACGCUGAGACGCGAAAGCGUGGGGAGCGAACAGG
rnacentral:rRNA from 1 species